UAUGGUUGCUAUGGAAACAAGGGGCACCUUGGGCUCCCAGAGCUCAGCCCAGGUGCUGCUAACUCAAGGAAUAAGGUCAGAGUGUGAAUCAAAUAAAAACCCGCUUGUCUGGGCCUUGUGUACACACACGUCUGCCCUUCUGACCACGUCCAGCCAGUGACUGCGUCCACGCAUGUACCACAGGGAUGCUCUGUCCUCAGCAGGGAGGCCUGGGUCCCGGUACACAAUGCUCAGUGUGCCUGCGUAGGUACGCCUGCAGGCACGAGGGCACAUCGCACAGUUACACGUGUGUGACCGCACAGCCCAGGACUGUUGUUAAUAUCGGAAAUGGGGCCGGGUG
rnacentral:lncRNA from 10 species